CCUGAAAUCAUUUCAAACCAUGACUCCAUUGUCCCAAUACUUAAAUCCCUUUCAGCUGGUCGAUCAUUUGAUUCAUCUGAAUUGUCAGUAUUUUUCUCCAACUCAAAAUUAGUUGUUACUCCAUCAAAUUCAGUCCCAAAAUUAGAACUCACAAGAGGAUCAAUAUUCUCAAAGUGAGAGUUUUUAAUUUCAUUCGUUGCUGCCACUAGCUCAAAAUCUACUAUUCUU
rnacentral:misc_RNA from 1 species